rnacentral:rRNA from 1 species
AAACCUUACCAGGGUUUGAAAUGGUAGGAAAGGCUGUCGAAAGAUAGCUUUGUCUCCCUUUUGGGAGAAAUCCUACCACAGGUGGUGCAUGGCCGUCGUCAGCUCGUGUUGUGAGAUGUUGGGUUAAGUCCCGCAACGAGCGCAACCCUUGUCCUUAUUUGCUUCCUCGUAUGAGGUGCUCUAUAAGGAGACUGCCGGCGACAAGCCGGAGGAAGGAGGGGACGACGUCAGGUCAGUAUGCCCUUUAUGCCCUGGGCUACACAGGCGCUACAGUGGCAAGGACAAUGAGUAGCGAGAGCGUAAGCUCGAGCUAAUCUCACAAACCUUGUCGUGGUGCGAAUUGAAGGUUGAAACUCACCUUCAUGAAGCCGGAAUCGGUAGUAAUGGCGUAUCAGCUAUGUCGCCGUGAAUACGUUCCCGGGCCUUGUACACACCGCCCGU